rnacentral:piRNA from 1 species
UCAUAAUGCUGACUUCACUACUGAUAGUU